rnacentral:lncRNA from 1 species
CAGACAGUUAUCUAUAUUUUAAAUGUUAUGAUAAUUUAUUUCACGAUAAAAAGGUCGUUUUCUCUCUCUUUUUGGAAGGAGAAAUCAAAGUAUUCAAAAUGAGCGUGUAUGUAGGUUAGUGAUAAUUAACUAGCUAGUGAUAUAUAUAUAUAUUUUUUAGAAGUGUACUUGGUGUCCAACUUGUUAAGAAGUUAGCUAGCUAGCUAACUACUGUAGAUAGAUACUAUAGAUAUCUAUUGAAUGUGGAGUAGCUACUGUAGCUAACUUCCUAGCCUUUUCCCUCCCAGCUAACGUUAGCUAUGGUUAUUUCUCAAUAGCACUUGUUUGUUUAUUUACAGGUUCAUCUUUUAAUGUUGAGGAUGUCCUUAGACCUUCUACGAAAGAGGGUGGGCAUGAAGAUGUCGAGCCCAAAGUUGAGCAGCUGAUGAAUAAACUUAAAAGGCUGCAACAAGGUAAGAGAGCUAUAGAGGAGGAGGUGAAAGAGGCCCAGUCACUCAGAGACUCUCUGCAGGAAGAACUCGAUGCCCGUAAGAAACCCUGAAGAAAUCUGGUUUUGCUCUCAUACUAAGUAAUAUUAGCUACAUCCUUUGUUAUUCUUCCCUUCCCACUGGAUACAGA